UACGGAGGAUCCGAGCGUUAUCCGGAUUUAUUGGGUUUAAAGGGAGCGUAGGCGGCAGGGCAAGCCUGAUGUGAAAGCCCGGGGCUCAACCCCGGGACUGCAUUGGGAACUGCCCCGCUCGAGUGCCGGAGGGGCAGGCGGAAUUCCUAGUGUAGCGGUGAAAUGCGUAGAUAUUAGGAGGAACACCAGUGGCGAAGGCGGCUUACUGGACGGAAACUGACGUUGAGGCUCGAAAGCGUGGGGAGCAAACAGG
rnacentral:rRNA from 1 species